GAUGAACGCUGGCGGCGUGCCUAAUACAUGCAAGUCGAGCGAACGGACGAGAAGCUUGCUUCUCUGAUGUUAGCGGCGGACGGGUGAGUAACACGUGGAUAACCUACCUAUAAGACUGGGAUGACUUCGGGAAACCGGAGCUAAUACCGGAUAAUAUUUUGAACCGCAUGGUUCAAAAGUGAAAGACGGUCUUGCUGUCACUUAUAGAUGGAUCCGCGCUGCAUUAGCUAGUUGGUAAGGUAACGGCUUACCAAGGCAACGAUGCAUAGCCGACCUGAGAGGGUGAUCGGCCACACUGGAACUGAGACACGGUCCAGACUCCUACGGGAGGCAGCAGUAGGGAAUCUUCCGCAAUGGGCGAAAGCCUGACGGAGCAACGCCGCGUGAGUGAUGAAGGUCUUCGGAUCGUAAAACUCUGUUAUUAGGGAAGAACAUGUGUGUAAGUAACUGUGCACAUCUUGACGGUACCUAAUCAGAAAGCCACGGCUAACUACGUGCCAGCAGCCGCGGUAAUACGUAGGUGGCAAGCGUUAUCCGGAAAUAUUGGGCGUAAAGCGCGCGUAGGCGGUUUUUUAGUCUGAUGUGAAAGCCCACGGCUCAACCGUGGAGGGUCAUUGGAAACUGGAAAACUUGAGUGCAGAAGAGGAAAGUGGAAUUCCAUGUGUAGCGGUGAAAUGCGCAGAGAUAUGGAGGAACACCAGUGGCGAAGGCGACUUUCUGGUCUGUAACUGACGCUGAUGUGCGAAAGCGUGGGGAUCAAACAGGAUUAGAUACCCUGGUAGUCCACGCCGUAAACGAUGAGUGCUAAGUGUUAGGGGGUUUCCGCCCCUUAGUGCUGCAGCUAACGCAUUAAGCACUCCGCCUGGGGAGUACGACCGCAAGGUUGAAACUCAAAGGAAUUGACGGGGACCCGCACAAGCGGUGGAGCAUGUGGUUUAAUUCGAAGCAACGCGAAGAACCUUACCAAAUCUUGACAUCCUUUGACAACUCUAGAGAUAGAGCCUUCCCCUUCGGGGGACAAAGUGACAGGUGGUGCAUGGUUGUCGUCAGCUCGUGUCGUGAGAUGUUGGGUUAAGUCCCGCAACGAGCGCAACCCUUAAGCUUAGUUGCCAUCAUUAAGUUGGGCACUCUAAGUUGACUGCCGGUGACAAACCGGAGGAAGGUGGGGAUGACGUCAAAUCAUCAUGCCCCUUAUGAUUUGGGCUACACACGUGCUACAAUGGACAAUACAAAGGGCAGCGAAACCGCGAGGUCAAGCAAAUCCCAUAAAGUUGUUCUCAGUUCGGAUUGUAGUCUGCAACUCGACUACAUGAAGCUGGAAUCGCUAGUAAUCGUAGAUCAGCAUGCUACGGUGAAUACGUUCCCGGGUCU
rnacentral:rRNA from 1 species